rnacentral:snRNA from 1 species
AACUGGCUUGUGGCAGCC